AGGGAGGCUCACUUAAAACGAACAUCGUUCAGUGAGAAGCCAGUUCUGGAGCUGGAGCAGUGGAUUGACAGUUACUCGGAGCAGCUUCCUCCACUCAGAGCUUUCAUCCUGCCCGUAGUCAGGAGGUAAAAGCAGUGCUGCUCUCCAUUUUUCCCGAGCUGUCUGCCGCAGAGCUGAAAGGUGCGUGGUUCCUUUAGUACAAGCAGGGGAAGCAGAUCCAAACGUGGCCAAAU